AAUUAUCAACCUUGUUCGCUUUUCGGGGCUUGAGCGAGGCUUGGAUGUGAGGGUUUAUGCUGGCUUCCUUCAGUGGAUGGUCUGCUCCCUUUAAAUGCAUUAGUGGGAUCUCUUUUGUGGACCGUCACUUGGUGUGAUAAUUAUCUAUGCCAUUGACUUGCUUAACGAGAAUCUGCUUAUAACCGUCUCGCAAGGGACAACAACUUUAUUGACA
rnacentral:misc_RNA from 1 species